GACGAACGCUGGCGGCGCGCCUAACACAUGCAAGUCGAACGAGCGAGAGAGAGCUUGCUUUCUCGAGCGAGUGGCGAACGGGUGAGUAACGCGUGAGGAACCUGCCUCAAAGAGGGGGACAACAGUUGGAAACGACUGCUAAUACCGCAUAAGCCCACGGCUCGGCAUCGAGCAGGGGGAAAAGGAGCAAUCCGCUUUGAGAUGGCCUCGCGUCCGAUUAGCUAGUUGGUGAGGUAAUGGCCCACCAAGGCGACGAUCGGUAGCCGGACUGAGAGGUUGAACGGCCACAUUGGGACUGAGACACGGCCCAGACUCCUACGGGAGGCAGCAGUGGGGAAUAUUGCACAAUGGGGGAAACCCUGAUGCAGCGACGCCGCGUGGAGGAAGAAGGUCUUCGGAUUGUAAACUCCUGUUGU
rnacentral:rRNA from 1 species